rnacentral:rRNA from 1 species
UGGGUAGGGGAGCGUUCUGUAAGCCUGUGAAGGUGGCCUGUGAGGGUUGCUGGAGGUAUCAGAAGUGCGAAUGCUGACAUAAGUAACGAUAAAGCGGGUGAAAAGCCCGCUCGCCGGAAGACCAAGGGUUCCUGUCCAACGUUAAUCGGGGCAGGGUGAGUCGACCCCUAAGGCGAGGCCGAAAGGCGUAGUCGAUGGGAAACGGGUUAAUAUUCCCGUACUUGGUGUUACUGCGAAGGGGGGACGGAGAAGGCUAUGUUGGCCGGGCGACGGUUGUCCCGGUUUAAGCGUGUAGGUGUGUGUUCCAGGUAAAUCCGGUUCACUUUAACACUGAGGCGUGAUGACGAGGCACUACGGUGCUGAAGCAACAAAUGCCCUGCUUCCAGGAAAAGCCUCUAAGCAUCAGGUAACAUCAAAUCGUACCCCAAACCGACACAGGUGGUCAGGUAGAGAAUACCAAGGCGCUUGAGAGAACUCGGGUGAAGGAACUAGGCAAAAUGGUGCCGUAACUUCGGGAGAAGGCACGCUGACACGUAGGUGAAGUGAUUUACUCACGGAGCUGAAGUCAGUCGAAGAUACCAGCUGGCUGCAACUGUUUAUUAAAAACACAGCACUGUGCAAACACGAAAGUGGACGUAUACGGUGUGACGCCUGCCCGGUGCCGGAAGGUUAAUUGAUGGGGUCAGCGCAAGCGAAGCUCCUGAUCGAAGCCCCGGUAAACGGCGGCCGUAACUAUAACGGUCCUAAGGUAGCGAAAUUCCUUGUCGGGUAAGUUCCGACCUGCACGAAUGGCGUAAUGAUGGCCAGGCUGUCUCCACCCGAGACUCAGUGAAAUUGAACUCGCUGUGAAGAUGCAGUGUACCCGCGGCAAGACGGAAAGACCCCGUGAACCUUUACUAUAGCUUGACACUGAACAUUGAGCCUUGAUGUGUAGGAUAGGUGGGAGGCUUUGAAGUGUGGACGCCAGUCUGCAUGGAGCCGACCUUGAAAUACCACCCUUUAAUGUUUGAUGUUCUAACGUGGACCCGUAAUCCGGGUUGCGGACAGUGUCUGGUGGGUAGUUUGACUGGGGCGGUCUCCUCCUAAAGAGUAACGGAGGAGCACGAAGGUUGGCUAAUCCUGGUCGGACAUCAGGAGGUUAGUGCAAUGGCAUAAGCCAGCUUGACUGCGAGCGUGACGGCGCGAGCAGGUGCGAAAGCAGGUCAUAGUGAUCCGGUGGUUCUGAAUGGAAGGGCCAUCGCUCAACGGAUAAAAGGUACUCCGGGGAUAACAGGCUGAUACCGCCCAAGAGUUCAUAUCGACGGCGGUGUUUGGCACCUCGAUGUCGGCUCAUCACAUCCUGGGGCUGAAGUAGGUCCCAAGGGUAUGGCUGUUCGCCAUUUAAAGUGGUACGCGAGCUGGGUUUAGAACGUCGUGAGACAGUUCGGUCCCUAUCUGCCGUGGGCGCUGGAGAACUGAGGGGGGCUGCUCCUAGUACGAGAGGACCGGAGUGGACGCAUCACUGGUGUUCGGGUUGUCAUGCCAAUGGCACUGCCCGGUAGCUAAAUGCGGAAGAGAUAAGUGCUGAAAGCAUCUAAGCACGAAACUUGCCCCGA